UACGUAGGGUGCGAGCGUUAAUCGGAAUUACUGGGCGUAAAGCGUGCGCAGGCGGUUCGUUGUGUCGGCGGGGAAAGCCCCGGGCUUAACCUGGGAAUGGCCGUUGAAACUGGCGAACUGGAGUGUGGCAGAGGGGGGUGGAAUUCCACGUGUAGCAGUGAAAUGCGUAGAGAUGUGGAGGAACACCGAUGGCGAAGGCAGCCCCCUGGGCUAACACUGACGCUCAUGCACGAAAGCGUGGGGAGCAAACAGG
rnacentral:rRNA from 1 species